rnacentral:rRNA from 1 species
GGUUUAGAACGUCGUGAGACAGUUCGGUCCCUAUCUGCCGUGGGCGUUGGAAGAUUGAAAGGGGCUGCUCCUAGUACGAGAGGACCGGAGUGGACGCACCGUUGGUGUUCGGGUUGUCAUGCCAAUGGCACUGCCCGGUAGCUAAGUGCGGAAGAGAUAACCGCUGAAAGCAUCUAAGCGGGAAACUUGCCUUGAGAUGAGUCUUCCCUGAC